ensembl:misc_RNA Metazoa_SRP Metazoan signal recognition particle RNA
CAUGGGGCAUGGUGGUAUGCACCUGUAGUCCCAGCUACUCAGGAGUCUAAGGCUGGAAGAUUGCUUGAGCCCAGGAGUUCUGGGCUGUAGUGCACUAGGUUGAUUUGGUGUCUGCACUAAGUUCAGCAUCAAUACGGUGAGCUCCUGGGAGCAUGGGACCACCAGGUUGCCUAAGGAGGGGUGAACCAUCCCAGGUUGGAAACGGAGCGGGUCAAAACUCCUGUGCUGAUCAGUAGUGGGAUCACACCUGUGAACAGCCACUGCACUCCAUCCUGGGCAACAUAGCAAGACCCUAUCUCU